rnacentral:misc_RNA from 1 species
UACGGAGGGUGCAAGCGUUAUCCGGAUUCAUUGGGUUUAAAGGGUACGCAGGCGGGAGAUUAAGUCAGUGGUGAAAGCCCACAGCUCAACUGUGGAACUGCCAUUGAUACUGAUCUUCUUGAGUACAGUUGAGGUAUGCGGAAUGUGGCAUGUAGCGGUGAAAUGCAUAGAUAUGCCACAGAACACCGAUUGCGAAGGCAGCAUACCAAACUGUUACUGACGCUCAGGUACGAAAGCAUGGGGAGCGAACGGG